UACGGAGGGUGCAAGCGUUGUUCGGAUUUAUUGGGCGUAAAGGGCGUGUAGGCGGUUCGUUAAGUCUGAUGUGAAAGCCCCGGGCUCAACCCGGGAAGUGCAUUGGAAACUGGCGAACUUGAGUACGGGAGAGGGCAGUGGAAUUCCUAGUGUAGGAGUGAAAUCCGUAGAUAUUAGGAGGAACACCGGUGGCGAAGGCGGCUCUCUGGACCGAGACUGACGCUGAGGCGCGAAAGCGUGGGGAGCAAACAGG
rnacentral:rRNA from 1 species